UGGCGUAGACCUCGACCAACUGCUC
rnacentral:piRNA from 1 species